CAGUCGCCGCGGUAAUACGAAGGGUGCAAGCGUUACUCGGAAUUACUGGGCGUAAAGCGUGCGUAGGUGGUGGUUUAAGUCCGUUGUGAAAGCCCUGGGCUCAACCUGGGAAUUGCAGUGGAUACUGGGUCACUAGAGUGUGGUAGAGGAUAGUGGAAUUUCCGGUGUAGCAGUGAAAUGCGUAGGGAUCGGAAGGAACAUCUGUGGCGAAGGCGACUAUCUGGGCCAACACUGACACUGAGGCACGAAAGCGUGGGGAGCAAACAGGAUUAGAUACCCGUGUAGUCCCUGUCUCUUAUAC
rnacentral:rRNA from 1 species